GUCACGGUGGCUCAUUCGGAAGAGCUUGGGUUAGAUUGAAGGUUUUAUUACAAGGUUGAAGGUACGAAACCCUCCCGUGACC
rnacentral:tRNA from 1 species